AGAGAGAGAGAGAGAGGUUUGUAUAGCCUAUAACUGUUGGGACUCAUGCUGAACUAAGUAGCUCCUCCCUUAGGGCUUAAAGUGAUUGUGCACAGGUCUGACUCCACUCAGUGUCACUGUUCCAUCUUCAGUGAAGACCCCUAUCUACACUUCACAAACAUGCAGCUGAUUAUCUUCUUGCUGAGUCUGUUCUUGCUCAUCAGUAGUCUACUGUAUAUCAGUGAGGGAGUAGCAGCAGGCUGUGAAGACUGGACACUGCAUGGAAGUAAAGAUGUCUGCUGUAGAAAAUGCAAACCAGGUAUGCUGAUCAGUAAUUGUUUAGCAUACAGGUCUUUUCAAUUGCUUGGAUUAAGAAAAUACCCGGGGCCUGAUUUGAACACAUUGGGAACUGUUUACUAUGUCUGUGGCUACAUAGUGUGUUUGUUGGAUACUUGGAAUUCAGUGCAAAAGAUAAAUCAGAGGGCUUCAUAGUUUGCCUUAUUUGUGUUCUGACAAUACCAUGAACAAGUCAGAAAAAGGAGGAUUCAGUCUCCAAAAGACAUGGGAGUCUCUAAAGUGGCUGUACAUGUAUAUAUAUGUAUGUGCAUUGAAAUGAUUUUUUUUAUAGACUGUAGAAUGCCUUUUACCACAAUCACAACUUCACCCUGACAUUUCGCAACGCUGACAGCAGCAAUGUGUGUCAGUAUGUGUGUCAUGUCAGACAUGCAUUAAAGGUGAUGACAACGUUUUUCUGGAUCCACAUUUCCUAUACGGAAAAAAGCGCUGUCUAGAAACCAUACAGAACAGCGUGUAACUCGAACAGAGAAUGACGUGGUUUAAAAACGUACACGUCAGCACUCUACAUCACACUCUACGUGAUGCACGCAAAACGUGCUUCAGAACACUGUGAAUUCGUAUGUGGUUAUAUGGAACCGUUUGGUGACACUCUGCGGACCAGAUCCAAGCCAGCUCUGUAUGCCAUGCGAGCCUAGACAUUACACAACUGAGCCUAUGAGUCCCUACUGCGCCAUAUGCACUCAGUGCACAGACCCUCGGGUUGAAGUGCAAGCCUGCACUGCUAGCAGCAACUCGAAGUGUGGAUGCAGACCUGGCCUGCGCUGUGGAGAUAAGCAGUGUACCUUUUGUGUAUAUAUAUAGAUGUAAUUGAAAAAAUAAAAAUUUGA